AGGAAAUUCCACUCAUUGAUAAAGCUCGGCUUCGACGCCCCUGCUCACAAUGAAAUACCUUCCUUGCCAACCACAUUGCUUUAUGAUCGUGCCCCUUUACCACAUUGUACUUGAAAUGCCUUGUCAUUUAAGAAACCAUAAAAACGACGUCUUUAAAAAUGGGUUCAUCAUUUAGCUGGAGAUGGCUUCUGUGCCUGGAACCAGAAGCCUGUCCUCUCGGUGGUAUGCCUCCACAAAAGGAAGCGAGCUACCACAAAGGACAGCAUCAUGUGUUGCCUUCAUUGCUAUUGAAUCGGGAAGUUGGUGCCCAGUUUCAACAUGGAUGACAAAGUAGUGGGAAUCUGAAAUGCCUACAGUAGAAGCUAUUUUUGAACGAGAAGGACUUUGGCUCAAAUCAACAGUUUGGUUUCUUACUGUUUACAUCUAUGAGUCAAAGUAGCUUGCUCCCAGGAUCCCCCACCAAACCGAAUGAAAAUAAAUUCAAUGUGUGCCCACUGAGCCUGGCCUGGGAGUUCUUGAGAUCAACUCAGAAUCAUGGUCUUUCUGUCACUCCCAAAACAAUCCUACCUAAUUCUACUUGUUCCUAAGUAUUGCCUUAGGAUACUGACAGUCUUUUCUCCUACUUACAGCUUUUGAAUGAAAUUAAAGCUAAUCCUCUCUGGCUUGGUCGGGUCUUGUGUAAGAUUCCCACACCCCACAAUCAAGGCCUUGCAAUGUGGUGUUAGAAGAGAUAGCCAAGUUACCACACCUGUAUCACGAUUCGGAUAAGGAUAGUAUUUUUUGCCUUCCAUGAGACAGCUUUGAAA
rnacentral:lncRNA from 1 species